UAUCAGUCAUGCAUAGCAUAUCAAUAAGCGGAGGAAAAGAAACUAACAAGGAUUCCCUUAGUAACGGCGAGUGAAGCGGGAAGAGCUCAAAUUUGAAAUCUUCAAGGUUUUACCUUGACGAAUUGUAGUUUAAAGAAGUGUUUUCUGUUGAAGUUUUGGUAAAAGUUCUUUGGAAUAGGACAUCAUAGAGGGUGAGAAUCCCGUAUUUGACCAUUACUUUCAGCUUUGUGAUACACCUUUCAAAGAGUCGGAUUGUUUGGGAAUGCAGUCCAAAAUGGGUGGUAAAUUUCAUCUAAAGCUAAAUAUUGGCGAGAGACCGAUAGCGAACAAGUACCGUGAGGGAAAGAUGAAAAGAACUUUGAAAAGAGAGUUAAACAGUACGUGAAAUUGUCAAAAGGGAAGCGUUUGACACCAGUGUUGUUUUCUCGAAAAUCAAUUAAAAAGAGUUGGAUUUUGUGUUGUAUUGACUUUAUCAGCUUUCUUCACUCUUUUCCAGCUUUUUUUAAUGCACUUUUCGUUUAACAAGUCAACAUCAGGUUUCUUUUGUUGUAAAAAGGUCAUUGGAAGGUGGCUUUCUCUUCGGAGAAAGUGUUUAUAGCCUUUGACUCAUGCAAUCGGAGAGACUGAGGUCUGCAGCGUAGAUCCUUCGGGGUUAGAUACAUUUGUGCUAAGUUAUAGCUUUUCAUAGACAACUUGUUGACUAUGUUUAGUCUUGUAGCUUACUCGCUUAUGCUAUUUUACCUACGCUUAGGAUGUUGAACUCUAUCACACACAG
rnacentral:rRNA from 1 species